rnacentral:lncRNA from 1 species
CCUCCAAAUACUCUCCAUUAACACCAUUUUCUUAGAAAAUUUGACGAUAGCUUCCAAGCUUUAUUUCUUCCAACCAUAAACCUACAUCCUGACAAAACAAGAGGAGUAACAAAAUGUCAGUCAUUGUUGCAUUCCCUCGUGGACGUAUUUUAUUCCUCAACCUCGUGUUUUUUCGUCUCCCUGUUAGAGAUUUGAGUAAAUGUCCAUUUAGAAGCUCUAAUUAACAAGGAAAGAAACAAAAAUAGAUAUACCAUCUAAUGCAUCUAAUAUCAGAUGCUGCUUACUUUUAGAGGCAAUGCACUAAGCCCAAAGUCAGAAACUUGUAAAAUGAUCCAAAUACAUACAAAGCACAAAUAUGAAAACCACCGACUUGUAGUGCUUGGUUUAGUCAGGCUCAACGCGAGGGACUGCACCUUGUGGCGCGAGGUUGGGGUUUGGCAUUGGGAUUUGUCCAGCAAGCUCCUGUCCCCCGAGCUACAUGUUUUGUCCUCCUCUUUCCAACUUGGCGCAUAAGCCUAAAAUUCUAGAUAUUUCCUUGAUAUAUAAUGUAAAAUGGAUGAAACAACUCAUGAGUCUUGUAUUACUAAGCUAGUUACUUUGUAUGUAUGAGGUGUUACAAAAUGAUCUUGUAGAUAUUGUGGACCAAAACUUGACUCUAGAAGGUAAUAAUAAAAUUGACAGACUUUGGUGAAUGGUUGAGACAUAAAGAAUUUACUGUUAAAUCAACAUGGAAC